CAGAAUCGGCAAGCACGAGCACGCUGUUGAAUGGCUGGGCGCUGCGUCACGGAAGUGGAUGUGUGCAUGCACGCAUGUACGGAGUGGAUGUGGAGCGCAGAGCAUGCAAAACACAAAGAGAUGAGAUAUGGAGAACACGAGCAAAAGCAAACAAAAAAAA
rnacentral:misc_RNA from 1 species